rnacentral:rRNA from 1 species
CCUACGUGGUGCAGCAGUGAGGAAUAUUGGUCAAUGGACGAGAGUCUGAACCAGCCAAGUAGCGUGAAGGAUGACUGCCCUAUGGGUUGUAAACUUCUUUUAUAUGGGAAUAAAAUGUUCCACGUGUGGGAUUUUGUAUGUACCAUAUGAAUAAGGAUCGGCUAACUCCGUGCCAGCAGCCGCGGUAAGACGGAGGAUCCGAGCGUUAUCCGGAUUUAUUGGGUUUAAAGGGAGCGUAGGUGGAUUGAUAAGUCAGUUGUGUAAGUUUGCGGCUCAACCGUAAAAUUGCAGUUGAAACUGGCAGUCGUGAGUGCAGUAGAGGUGGGCGGAAUGCGUGGUGUAGCGGUGAAAUGCUUAGAUAUCACGAAGAACACCGAUUGCGAAGGCAGUUCACUGGACUACAACUGACACUGAGGCGCGAAAGUGUGGGUAUCAAACAGGAGUAGAUACCCGUGUAGUC